rnacentral:tRNA from 1 species
GGUAAGGUGGCUCAGUGGUAGAGUGCUUGCCUUGCAUGCAUGAGGACCUGGGUUCAAUUCCUCAGCACCA